UACGUAGGGUGCAAGCGUUAAUCGGAAUUACUGGGCGUAAAGCGUGCGCAGGCGGCUUUGCAAGACAGAUGUGAAAUCCCCGGGCUUAACCUGGGAACUGCAUUUGUGACUGCAUGGCUAGAGUGCGGCAGAGGGGGAUGGAAUUCCGCGUGUAGCAGUGAAAUGCGUAGAUAUGUGGAGGAACACCGAUGGCGAAGGCAGCCCCCUGGGUUAACACUGACGCUCAUGCACGAAAGCGUGGGGAGCAAACAGG
rnacentral:rRNA from 1 species